UGGUGAUGCCCGGCUGAAGCAUCGAGAUGGAGGACACGGCCGCCGCUGUGUUGUGCUUUACUGGUGUGCCCGUGCGCCUGCUCACUAGGCGCCACGACGGGUUGGGUCUCAUCGCUGCCAUGGAGUUGAACUACUGCCGCGGGAGGCUGCACGUCAUGCUAAGCAAUCUUCCUGAGCAAGCAAUUGAGGCUACACCAGCUAAGGAUCCGGUGGAAGCCGAUUCAUCUCUGCUGAUCUGAGAAAGAAUAAUGGGAAGCCCACACCGACGAACUCUGCUAUUCGGACUCUGAUCCCUAGGCGCCGGACACAUACCCACAACCACGGCCAGACCGUCAGUGAGUGCCUCACAUUAGAUGCUGAUCCACUCCACCUCCGGUUAUCAUAAACCAACCUAUCCGAGGUAUACCAUAUUACCACUCUAAAAUUCAACCACUUUUUUAGUCACAAAUUGAACAAAUUUUGUUAUAAAAAAUUAAUUGGACCAAUGAUGAAGUGAUUGGAUUUUAACCUAUGCAAUCGUGGUAGAUUUUCAAAGAUGAAGACUUCUUAGAUUUUAUUGAAAUAUUUUAUGGGAAUUUUUGCAGGAUUUUUAGCAGACAUCUAUUUUCAUAGGUUUAUUUGUAGUGAGUCAAGAUGAAGACUAGCGAAUUAGAAAGUUUAUUUGUGGCGAGUACAUAUUUUGGAGUGGUUAAUUAGAAAGUUUAGCACAAAAGACUCUGUGUUAUGUGUCUCCGGAAUUUACUUUACAUUUUGGAAGUAAUGAAUUAAGGACCGAACUAUUUU